rnacentral:rRNA from 1 species
GAUGAACGCUGGCGGCGUGCCUAAUACAUGCAAGUAGAACGCUGAAGGAGGAGCUUGCUCUUCUGGAUGAGUUGCGAACGGGUGAGUAACGCGUAGGUAACCUGCCUGGUAGCGGGGGAUAACUAUUGGAAACGAUAGCUAAUACCGCAUGACAACAGUUAUUGCAUGAUAACUGUUUAAAAGGGGCAACUGCUCCACUACCAGAUGGACCUGCGUUGUAUUAGCUAGUUGGUGAGGUAACGGCUCACCAAGGCGACGAUACAUAGCCGACCUGGGAGGGGGAUCGGCCACACUGGGACUGAGACACGGCCCAGACUCCUACGGGAGGCAGGAGUAGGGAAUCUUCGGCAAUGGACGGAAGUCUGACCGAGCAACGCCGCGUGAGUGAAGAAGGUUUUCGGAUCGUAAAGCUCUGUUGUAAGAGAAGAACGAGUGUGGGAGUGGAAAGUGCACACUGUGACGGUAUCUAACCAGAAAGGGACGGCUAACUACGUG